UACGAAGGGGGCUAGCGUUGCUCGGAAUCACUGGGCGUAAAGGGUGCGUAGGCGGGUCUUUAAGUCAGGGGUGAAAUCCUGGAGCUCAACUCCAGAACUGCCUUUGAUACUGAGGAUCUUGAGUUCGGGAGAGGUGAGUGGAACUGCGAGUGUAGAGGUGAAAAUUCGUAGAUAUUCGCCAAGAACACCAAGUGGCGAAGGCGGACUCACUGGUCCGAUACUGACGCUGAGGAG
rnacentral:rRNA from 1 species